ACCGCUGAUCAGUUGUUGUCACUUGAAACCAGACUCGUGUUCAAGUACUUGACUUUGCAUUGAAAUUAAUCUUACAAAUCGGCCUUAUCCCUAGAAACCUCUUGGCAGAAGGUAAAAACUGAUGUGCUUGAAUAUCAUUUACUUCAAUGAAGCGUAAAGAAACUUUAAAACCCAAACAAAUCCUUCAAAGUUUGCCAUUCCGGCAGGCGUUCUGAACUGAAGUAUGUACAAAAUAGCAAAUAUUUUUCAUUGUAAUGUCUUUAUUGACUUCCAGUAGCUUCCAAGGAUGAACCAAGACUAUUAUACAGCAUCUAAAAUAAGAAUACAGCAAGGAUAGAGUUUAUUUUCUGUGAUUUGUCUUCCGUACAAACAGGGUCUACCUAGAACAGUAGGGCGUGCACAUGGAAAUAUGCUCACAGUGCAGAACGUAAAAAGGACUUUAAAUUAUGCCAUGUAUAGGAAUUGUCAAGUUUCUGAAGUUGCUCAGAUCUUUUUUUAUUUCUCCCGCCAAGUAGUUCUUAUACCCAGAUUGUCGUUCCUUUUUUUAUUCAGCACAGCUAGUUUAAAUUCAGCUAGUUUCUUUCAUGACUAUUAUCAGAUUGAGAAAACUUCAAAAUAACGAUUAAAGUGUUAAACCUCAUUAAUGAUAUUUUAUUAAAAAUAUCUUGCUUAAAUUA